ensembl:lncRNA
GCUUUAAUUGAUCCUGGAAUGGAAACAGAAGACAGAAAGCCAAUUUGUACCAUGCCUCUUUGUUGAAAAGGGUAGUAGUCUGUGUUGUAAGCUGCAUGAGAAGAGGGACCAUCAGGCCAUGUUCCUUCAGAGCAAACUGUUCAGAAGUGCGGUGUGCACAUACGCAAGAGGACAUGGAACAUCCAGGGCUCGGUUGCUUUUCUUAGCUCUUCUCCGGUGCUUCCUGGGAGCAUCACACACGUGACCUCAUACCUUCCUUAUGUCAGAGCCUACUCCUAGAGGAAUCCAACUGAAGACACAACCUUUGGAAAACAGAUGCUUACCUCUGCGUGCUCAUCUUUCAGUCAGCAUGCACUUUCUCUGAACCCACCAUGUGGAAGGCUAGGGAAAGAAAGGCAAGAAAUGAGACUACCUUCCUGUUACUUAGAGCUGAAAAACAGAAAGGGACACUCUGUUGAAACAAGGACAUCAUGAGAGAGGGAUGUGAGCUCCCACAAGAUCUCCACCCUAAGGAUUCCUCCAGGAACUUUCAGAAUGACCCCUGGUGUUCCCUAACAGAUGGGGGCUGGAGAGGCUACGUGACUUCUGUUGGCUUUUUCCUACCCACUCCUUCUUCUCGUCUCAUUUGUGUCUCUACUUAGUUUGGGGUUCUUGAUGACGUUUAUCUUGUUUUUAAACAUGGCUAUAACUUCUUUGAACAUUUUUAUGUAAGUAGAGCAUCUAUACAGAGAAGUGCACAUAUUGCCCAAGAAGUGUCCCUCAUGUACAGCUUCCUCUCCCCACAAAAGCAAUCACUGUCUUCACUUCCCACAGUGUAGUUCGCCUCUUUUUCUCUCUAAAUGUCCAUGUUUGUGAGUUUUGUACGUAAUUGUGCAGGGUUCAUCCUCAGUACCAUGUGUAUCCCAGUGCGUGAACGACCAUGAUUGACUUAUCUGCUCUAAUGUUGAAGGACGGUUGAGUGGUUUCUAGUUGGAGUUCAUUCUGGAUGCUGCUGCUGUGAGCUUUCCAGCACAUCUUUGGAUGAGUACAUGGAUGCAUUUCUGUUGGGGAGAUGCUCUGGAGCGACACUGUCAGGUCAUAGAAUUCGCAUGUGGGGUCAGUUUCAGUGAAUGACUACCUGGUUUCCUCAGUGGGUACACUGGAUUACACUCCCACCAGCAGGUUAUGAGACAUCCAUUGUUUCUGUGGCUCUUCUAAUGCUGGUUUUAUUCAUCCUUUUUUCAUUUUAGUUAUUCUGAUGGGUAUGGGCUAUAUGCUUUUUUAACUUUUCUACAGAGAAAGAUUUAAGUAUUUUAUCUCUGUAGCAGAAAACCAGAAGGCUCAUAGG